rnacentral:sRNA from 1 species
AUUCCUCGCUCCAAGGGGCAGACAGGACAGGCUGAAAAUAGCAACUGGUUCCAAAAAGAUAAAGGGGAUGACUCCAGCAGAGCACCUCACUCCUUUGAAGAGCACAGAGGAAGAUGUCAGCCCAGUCCCUUCCUGCAGCAACACCCCCCACGCAGAAGCCCCCUCGGAUCAUCCGCCCCCGCCCUCCUUCUCGUUCCAGGGCUGCGCAGUCCCCAGGGCCUCCCCACAAUGGCUCCUCUCCACAAGAACUACCCCGAAACUCCAAUGAUGCACCAACCCCAAUGUGCACCCCCAUCUUCUGGGAGCCCCCAGCUGCAUCCCUCAAGCCCCCUGCUCUUUUGCCCCCCUCAGCUUCUAGAGCCAGCCUCGACUCCCAGACUUCCCCAGACUCACCUUCCAGCACCCCCACACCUAGUCCAGUGUCCCGGCGCUCCGCCUCCCCAGAACCUGCUCCCCGGUCUCCAGUCCCCCCACCCAAGCCGUCUGGGUCACCCUGCACGCCUCUACUCCCCAUGGUUGGGGUCCUGGCUCAGAAUGGCUCUGCCUCAGCUCCUGGCACUGUGCGGAGGCUGGCUGGCAGGUUUGAAGGGGGUGCUGAAGGCCGGGCUCAGGAUGCAGAUGCCCCGGAGCCAGGUCUCCAAGCGAGAGCAGAUGUGAAUGGGGAGAGAGAAGCUCCCCUCACCGGGAGUGGGUCCCAGGAGAACGGUGCUCCAGGUGAGUGUGGCGGGUGGGGGGCGCUGGGUGACCUCAAUCCACCCAUCUUCUCCGUUUUCAGUGCUGACAACUUUCAGGGGCUACCUUUUCAAAAAUGGAUUUGAUGUUUGGGAUAUCUGGUUUCUGUAUGUCGGGAUUUGAAGGGAGUCAGGGUGGAGGAGAUCUAUAGAUGCCUGGACCUUGAUAUUGCAGUUGCUGGGCAGGUUAAAGAUGGAGAUGGUCUGGGCGGGGGUGGAGCUGGGCCCCAAGGGCUUUCUCCUUAGGCUACCUGUCUCCCACAGAUGCUGGCCUGGCCUGCCCUCCCUGCUGCCCCUGUGUCUGCCAUACCACCCGGCCUGGCCUGGAGCUCAGAUGGGUGCCUGUGGGGGGCUAUGAGGAGGUCCCCAGGGUCCCCCGUCGGGCCUCCCCGCUGCGGACCUCUCGCUCCCGCCCCAACCCUCCAAGCAUCGGUCACCCUGCCGUUGUCCUCACAUCCUACCGCUCCACUGCUGAGCGCAAACUCCUGCCACCCCUCAAGCCUCCCAAACCAACUCGUGUCAGGCAGGAUGCCACCAUUUUCGGGGACCCCCCACAGCCAGAUCUUGAUCUGCUUUCUGAAGAUGGAAUCCAAACAGGUGCAGGGCCUGGGGGAGUGGACCUCUGGGCUGUGAGGGGACAGGAGAGAGGCAGGGGGGGACUAAAGCCCAGCAAACUACAAUCCCCAACAGGCACUGGGCUCUUUGCUUUCCUACCAGCUGCUGCUCUGGUGCUGAAGAGAGUUGCAGUUUUUAUAGUAACCAUCCCUGCUGGGGCUGGAGUCGGGAGUCCUGGCUGGGGAUCCUGGAGUUUUUUUUUCUCUUCACUCUGGCUUCUCUCUCCAGGGCACAGUCCUGAUGAAGCUCCUCAGAAUACUCCUCCAGCAACUGCGGAGGGGAGGUACUGAACACCCCCACCCCUACUCCCUGGUGCUCUCCCCACCAUGCUUCUACCUGAGGGCAGACUAACCUUCAGCUCCAGCUAAAUCCCACCUCCACAAAGGUGAGGGGACAAGGGCCAGGGCUCUAGAGAUAAGCAGCCCUUGUUUCGAAUCCCAGCUCUGGCCCUUAUCAAUUCUGUGAUCUUAUAGAAGGCCGGGCACGGUGGCUUACAUCUGUAAUCCCAGCACUCUGGGAGGCUGUGGCAGAAGGAUCACCUGAAGUCAGGAGUUCAAGAUCAGCCUGGCUAACGUGGUGAAACCCUGUCUCUACUAAAAAUACAAAAAUUAGCCGGGCAGGGUGAUGGGUGCCUGUAAUCCCAGCUACUCGGGAGGCUGAGGCAGGAGAAUGGCUUGGACCCGGGGAGAUGGAGGUUGCAGGGAGACAAGAGCGUGCCACUGCACUCCAGCCUGUUCGACAAGAGAGAAACUCCAUCUC